UUGUGUACCCCCAACCUCUGACCCCCCCCCAUUGUAUUGUGGAGAUGGGGGGGGACACCCCCAUAAUGGACCCUUGUGAGUCCUCCGCUGCAGCAGGGGGCAGGACCCCCCGUGACCUUUGACCUAGGGGACAUGGUGGGACCCCCCCCCUUGACCUCAGGGACAACCCCCCCCCAAUAAAAGCCUUUGAUCGAA